rnacentral:rRNA from 1 species
UACGGAGGGGGCUAGCGUUGUUCGGAAUUACUGGGCGUAAAGCGCACGUAGGCGGCUACUCAAGUCAGAGGUGAAAGCCUGGAGCUCAACUCCAGAACUGCCUUUGAAACUAGGUAGCUUGAAUCGCGGAGAGGUGAGUGGAAUUCCGAGUGUAGAGGUGAAAUUCGUAGAUAUUCGGAAGAACACCAGUGGCGAAGGCGGCUCACUGGACGCGUAUUGACGCUGAGGUGCGAAAGCGUGGGGAGCAAACAGG